rnacentral:rRNA from 1 species
CGUAGGCGGACGUUUAAGUCAGAGGUAAAAGCCCAGGGCUCAACCUUGGAACUGCCUUUGAUACUGGACGUCUUGAGUACGGGAGAGGUGUGUGGAACUCCGAGUGUAGAGGUGAAAUUCGUAGAUAUUCGGAAGAACACCAGUGGCGAAGGCGACACACUGGCCCGUUACUGACGCUGAGGCGCGAAAGCGUGGGGAGCAAACAGGAUUAGAUACCCUGGUAGUCCACGCUGUAAACGAUGAGUGCUAGUUGUCGGCAUGCAUGCAUGUCGGUGACGCAGCUAACGCAUUAAGCACUCCGCCUGGGGAGUACGGUCGCAAGAUUAAA